rnacentral:rRNA from 1 species
UACGUAGGGGGGCUAGCGUUGUCCGGAAUCAUUGGGCGUAAAGAGCGUGUAGGCGGUCCGGUAAGUCCGCUGUGAAAGUCGGGGGCUCAACCCUCGAAUGCCGGUGGAUACUGUCGGGCUAGAGUACGGAAGAGGCGAGUGGAAUUCCUGGUGUAGCGGUGAAAUGCGCAGAUAUCAGGAGGAACACCUAUUGCGAAGGCAGCUCGCUGGGACGUAACUGACGCUGAGACGCGAAAGCGUGGGGAGCAAACAGG